UGAGAUGUGGCACCAGGCCACCAAGAUUGAAAAGCAAUUGAAGAGUAGAGGAACUAAUCGGGGGUAUGUUAGUAACGGUCCGUAGGAAAACCAAAGAUGGACUCAAAGGGAUGAUAGUAAGGGGAAACAAGUUGUUGGGAAUCCAACAAUUAAUCCUAAGGCACCAGCCACCCGCUAGAGCACUGUUAAAUGUUUCAAGUGUUUAAGAAUGGGGCAUAUUGCAUCAUAAUGUCCUAAUCAGCAUGCCAUGAUUCUCCGAGAUGAUGGAGAUAUCAUCAUUGACCAAGAAAGUAGUGAUGAGCAGGAAGAUCUACCACUGGUAGACAUAGAGAGUAUAGCUCGACUAGUAU
rnacentral:lncRNA from 1 species